rnacentral:sRNA from 1 species
UCUUGAGACAACUCCGAUGGCAUAAGC